UUCAACAUUUAGCUAACAUUAUAUUUUUCUCUAUGCAAGCAUUAUUUGAAUUAACGCAAUCCGUACGUAACAAUAUAAUUUUUCCAAAAAUAGUUACCUCAAAUAUUUAUCGAAAUAACUUAUCGAGCGAUCAAAUCAAACAUUCCCGUCAUAUCACUCAACUGCAUUAUCGUUUACUCGAUCAAUUUCUUCUGACAACGCCAGCCAUGCAAACCAUAAUCUCCUCACAAUACUCGUUUCGGUUUACAUCGAGCAAACGAAAUUUGCUUACACCAACUUUAACUUGAUAGAAAAUUUGCAAGAUUGAUAAUUUACACUCACUGGUUACAUGAACAUUUUCAACAAUUAUAUCCCGCGAUUAAAUCACUUCGAUGAAAUGCACAUCAUUAAGCAGAAUAUAUGCAUAUCUGACUCAAUAUGUAUAAAUAUGUGUGUAAAUAUAAUAGAAAUUUUUUACUUAAUUUACUUUUUACUUAUAACCUAGCUUUUAUUCUCUGAUAUCAUAAUUCUAUUAUUAGUUAUUCAGAAAUUUUAUUUAUGUUACACUAUUUUAUAUAAAACAGUUUUGUAAGCAAAUUCUUUAUUUCAAUUUUCUCUAUUAAAAUAUUAAAAUUUAGUAUUAUUAAAUUUAAUAUCCUUUUUAAAUUUAACAUCUAGUUUUACAUUUUAGUAGUUUUACAUUCAGUAUUAGAAAAGAUACAUCACGUCCCUAAGUUGUCUAAUUAAAAAGUUACGUUCCAAGUAAUGGGCUAAAUCAAAGCUUCUUCAAACUGGGGAUAGUGCCUGAUGAUGAUAAACGACGAGCACAAUAAUUUAUUAAUUAACAUCGACGAAAAUACGUGAUAAUGCACGCACAUACCGUACACAUGAGUGCGCGUACGCGGAGUGUGAUCUCACCCAAUUGUUACUCGUUCGCAGACUACUUGAGCGACGAUAUGUCGACGACUGGCCCGGAAUUGAUGGUCAGACGACCAGUCUACCAGCAGGAUGAACUUAAUCACUUGUGCAAAUAUGUAAAGCCUAAGAGAAUCCUUUGCAAUGAGAUGUCAAGACGAUGCAAAAAUAUCAAGCCAGUUGCACUUUUAAAAAAAAUGAUACCUUUGACCGACUGGCUUUCUUCGUACGAUUGGAAAAAUAAUAUCUUAGGAGAUAUUGUUGCUGGAAUUACUGUUGCUGUGAUGCAUAUUCCACAAGGUAUGGCGUAUGCAAUACUGGGUAACGUUCCGCCAAUUGUCGGUAUAUACAUGGCUUUCUUCCCGGUUUUGGUGUAUUUCUUUCUUGGCACAUCCAGACACAAUUCUAUGGGUACGUUUGCGCUCAUCUGCAUGAUGACUGGCAAAGUCGUUACAACAUACAGUAGCACUGCAGUUUCGACAAAUAACACGUCAGCCGAGAACGGCACCUUAAUUUCCGACGUAAGCCAUCAAUAUUCGCCAGUGGAAGUUGCAACCGUAGUUACAUUCACGGUUGCCGUUAUACAGUUAGGAAUGUACGUGCUGCGUUUGGGUGUAAUCUCAUCUCUCCUCGCGGACAGUCUCGUAAGUGGAUUCACAACUGCAGCAGCGAUGCAUGUAUUUACAUCGCAAAUAAGGGAUCUCUUUGGAUUGAGCGACCUACCACGGCGCAGGGGUGCAUUCAAGCUUAUUCUCACUUACGUAGAUGUUUUCAACAGUAUGAAUAACAUCAAUACAACAGCUGUGAUAUUAUCUUGCAUUACUAUUUUAGCCAUUAUGUUCAACAACGAAGUUCUUAAGCCAAGGGUUGCAAAGUUAUGCCCCUUUCCUAUUCCGAUAGAAAUGCUCGUGGUAGUAAUCGGUACCGUUGUAUCGAUGCAAAUGAAUCUUACAGAUACUUAUAACGUAAUAACGGUUGGCAAUAUACCAGUAGGAUUGCCAGUCCCGUCUGUACCACCGUUGUCUCUUAUACCCAACAUUUUAGUAGACAGUUUCGUGAUUACUAUGGUCGCUUACACAAUAUCAAUGUCUAUGGCAUUGAUUUUCGCGCAGAAGGAGGGUUACGAAAUCGAUUCUAAUCAAGAAUUGAUGGCUCAGGGAAUGGGAAACCUUGUAGGCUCUUUUUUCUCCUGCAUGCCGAUUACGGCUUCGCUGUCCAGAUCAUUGAUUCAGGUAACUGUAGGUGGACACACACAGCUAGCGAGUUUGAUAUCAUGUGGAAUCCUGGUGAGCGUAUUGCUAUGGAUCGGGCCAUUCUUUCAACCUUUGCCACGAUGUGUUCUAGCGAGUAUAAUUGUAGUGGCGUUAAAAGGGAUGCUGAUAAAGGUCACCGAGUUCAUGAAAUUUUGGAGAUUGGAUAAGACGGAUGCCGUAGUUUGGGCUGUCACUUUUAUUGUCGUAGUGCUCUUUGACGUCGAGUACGGAUUAUUAGUCGGCGUGCUUCUAUGCAUCGGAAGGUUACUUCUCCUCGCGAUGCGACCUUACACGUGUAAGCUCGCGCAAGUACCAGGCACUGAGCUCUACUUGGAUUUCAAAAGAUACAAAGGAGUACGAAGAACUUACUGUGGAAAUUCCCGGCAUCAAGAUCUUCCACUAUUCCGGGACCCUGAAUUUUGCAUCUAAGCAAUAUUUUCGUGAGGAAGUGUAUAAUAUUGCAGAGAUAGUACCGCAAAAGGAGCUACAAAAACGUUUACAAGCCGCAUGCAACGGCUCAACGGCGGAACAAAUUAAAAAGCUACGUAUUCUCAUAUUGGAUUUCACCGCAUUGUCACAUAUCGAUCUGGCAGGCGCAAAUGUGUUACGAAACAUUGUUGAUGAAUAUUGCAACAUAGACGUGUCUAUUUACAUAGCAGGUUGUUCC
rnacentral:misc_RNA from 1 species